AGCAAGCCCACUGUCACGGGAUGAGUAUUUUGCGCAGCUAACCCGUGCGGCACUUAGACAACUUUGCCGAAUGUUGCUAAGUAAGCCUAGAGCUUCUCGGAAUAGAGAAGAGAGCAAUUGAGCCAAAGAAGAAACUUGUAUUGCACAAAGAGAGAUUACAAUGCUUGUUGUAGUGUUUGUUGGAUACAAAUGCCUAAUGCCAUCCCAUAUUUAUAGGGGAGGCUUGCCAAGCUCUAGAGAUUCCUGCUGUACGGCCAAGGCGGAUGUACGGUACAGCAGUAACAUCUGGAAACCUCUUGAUUUGGGGACUAUUGGAAUUCCUUUUGGAGUUGAGCACAGAGGAUGCAAAUUAUUAUUCACAACAAGAGAUCUCGAUGUGCUGUUAAGGAUGGAAUCUGAAAAAAACUUCUCGAUUGGCAUUUUAAAUGAACAAGAAGCCUGGAGAUUGUUCAAGAUAAUGGCAGGUGAUUAUGUGGAAAAUCGUGAAUUAGAAUCUACAGCAACAAGUGUAGCCAAGGCAUGCGGAGGUUUGCCUAUUGCCCUAACCACAGUAGCAAAGGCACUGAGAAAAAAAGAGCUGCCUGUGUGGAAGAAUGCCUUGCAAGAACUCCAAACGCCUUCAGAGGCAAGCUUCGACGAAGGAGUACCAGCAGAGGCAUACUCAACAAUUGAGCUGAGUUACAAGUACUUAAGAGGUGAGCAACUCAAGAAAACUUUUUUACUGUGUAGUCUUAUUACGCCAGCACCAAUUAUGGACUUGUUCAAAUAUAGCAUGGGCUUGGGUGUAUUUAAAAGUGUCCAUAAGCUAGAAGAUGCACAUAACAAAUUAGAUGCAUGGGUCAAUCAACUAAGAGACUCUUGUUUGUUGCUUAAGGAUGGUAGCAGUAAAUUAUUUUCCAUGCAUGAUGUUGUUCGCGAUGUUGCCAUUUCAAUUGCAUGUCGUGACAAAAUUGGAUUUGUGGUGAGAAAUGAGGAUGAUUGGAAAUGGCCAAAUGCAG
rnacentral:lncRNA from 1 species